ACUGAGAGCUCACAGCCAAUUUCAUGAGACGGUGCUACAUUAUCGUGCCUUCUUGCAUGAGGAAUUCAAGGCCACAUGCGGUUUCGUCACUUGUCAAAGGUUAGUGUUGCUGAGGUUAGAACUGGGUCCCACUUUGAUCUGAUUCCAAAGCCUGAUCCCUUAACUAGUGUGUGGAGCUGACUGCAGGGAGACUGCUACACCCAGGAAGAGCUGCAGCUGUCUCAGAUCUUAAAACCAUUCAUCGGGAGAACUAGGAAAGGACACCUCUGGGCCUGCCUGUGAGCUGCUGCUAGAGAAGAUUAGCCGAGAACUGAGUGAAUGAGAGCCACCUUGAGAGGAGUGCCAUCUAACAGGCUGGAGGUCCGGGUGACGUGAGAAAGUAGAAAGGGGAAGCAAGCCCUGGAUUAUGAGUUUCUUCCCCAGUGGGUGUGGUUUGAUGCUGCCGAUUCAGAUGAACAUCACACUCCAGCAUCACACUCCAGCUUCUUCAGCCUUUGACAGACCUGCAGCAGUGAGAUGCAAGGACCUUGGAGGCCCUCACCCUCAGACCCAGGACAACCGUUGGCUUCUCAGUCUCUGUUCUCACAAGCAUCUUGUUCUGCGUUCCCUAGCUGACACCCAGCUCUCCAAUCUACAGAGGACUGCUGUGGCCCCACAGAGUACUCCAGACUAUUAGCUUCCUCUUGUUAUUGUAUAUAUUCCUUACCCUUAAUGGUCCCAAUACAAGGGUGAAUUAUCACUCUUCUCAGAUCUGUCACCAUCAAUCCAAUAAUGAAGAGAACCAUUUUCAUCUGAAUAAGCAAUUAACCUCCAAGUGGCAGCGUGGAACCAAGGUCUACAGUGGCUGCUGAGGUCAGACUUGAAGAAAUGACUCACAUGCAAGGCUGAUCUACAUAAGUAGCCUGUGCUAAGACUGCCAUCUGGUAGAACAAUCUACAUCACACGACUCCACGUUUCCUGUUACCCAAGCACAGUGAACCUCUAUCUGCACACAGCUUAUGAGCCAGAUGCAUGGGUCUUACUCCAUUAACUGGAACUAUGGUGCUCAGUGCUGAGAGAGUUCAUCGCAAGCCGAAGCUAUUGGACUUGCCACAGAGGGAAGCAGCAGCUGACAGUCACUGGCACAUCCCUCCAGCACCGACUGUGUUACCUAGCCAUCUGGAGCUCAAGAUUAAGGCAGGUUUGAUGAGAGAGCUGUGACCUGUGGACCUCCUGAGAAAAUGACAAUGAGGGGGUACCUGAUAUACACUUCAGGACAUAAUAACCUGUGGCUGGCGAAAAACUCUCCCAAAUUGCAUAUAAUUUACAAUGUGUGUAAUUUAAGUAAAUAGGUACUUCUCAAAAAAUUUUUUUUCUGUUCAUGGUACUCUCAUGUUGUAAAAACAAAACAAAACAAAACAAAACAAACAAACAAAAACAAAAACAAA
rnacentral:lncRNA from 1 species